CGAAACCAGGUGAUCUACCCAUGUCCAGGGUGAAGUUCAGGUAACACUGAAUGGAGGCCCGAACCCACGCACGUUGAAAAGUGCGGGGAUGAGGUGUGGGUAGGGGUGAAAUGCCAAUCGAACCUGGAGAUAGCUGGUUCUCUCCGAAAUAGCUUUAGGGCUAGCCUUAAGGUAAGAGUCUUGGAGGUAGAGCACUGAUUGGACUAGGGGCCCCUACCGGGUUACCGAAUUCAGUCAAACUCCGAAUGCCAAUGACUUAUCCUUAGGAGUCAGACUGCGAGUGAUAAGAUCCGUAGUCGAAAGGGAAACAGCCCAGACCGCCAGCUAAGGUCCCAAAGUAUACGUUAAGUGGAAAAGGAUGUGGAGUUGCUUAGACAACCAGG
rnacentral:rRNA from 1 species